GGAUUGUGGCUUAGCGGUAGAGUGCUUGCCUCCCACGCGCAAGACCCUGGGUUCGAUCCUCAGCACCA
rnacentral:tRNA from 1 species